rnacentral:lncRNA from 12 species
GGGAGAGCAGUCCUGCUGCCUGGCCCCUUUUCCUUCCACCUCUGGUUCCAUCUCUUGAUUGCCACAAGUCUUGUAUGAGUGUGUAUGUAUAUCCAGUUUAUGCAUUACAGCUUCAUCCAAGUUCUGGCAUCUAUGUCAAGCAUCCAUGUGACUGCCUCUGGUACCUGUGAAUGUGCAUUCAUGCCUCAGCACCAGGCCUUCAGGCUGUUUGGCUACAUUGUGCAGAACCUGCACUUCACCACUGUCUUGAUAUUAACGUCCAAGAUAUCUGAAUCAGCUCUUUGCUCUCUACUCUUGAGGUUGCCUCCUCUACUCCACCUACCUCAUCAUUUUGAAUUAAAAACUUCAUGUCUUCUGGGUGUUUAACUAUACAAAGUCUCUUUUAUAUGUUAGGUAGUGAGACAUAUAUAAGAAAGCCACAGAAUUAUAUAGAUUUAGAGAAAUAUUUCAAUGGCAAACCUCCUAACAAUCCAUAACUAAUCCAAAGCAUUAUUAUCUGCUUUGUAGAAUGAUACUGUUAGUUUUCACUAAACUGCUAUUAACAAUAUCAUAAUAGAUAAAUGAGUAGCUUAGACAUCAUGGGGUCUGUUUCAAGCCUAAAACAAGAGUCAAAUUUCUUUGAAAUUUUGUAUUUUUUCAUAAAAAUUAAUGUGACUUUUAAGUCAUGUCUAUAAUAUUUUUGUGUUUUAAGAAAGAAAUUGUAUUUUAAUUGACUAUCAAAUACAGUUGAUAUUCUAAAAAUAUGUAUCAUAUUUAUUCUGAAACUCCGUUGUAAGAUAGGAAUUAAAACACAUAUAGUUGUGUGAUUGUAAGAACAUUGACAUACUUUAGUGGGCUAACGGCCAGUAUAAGACAUGUUUUGAUUAGCAGUGAGCCAUAAGGAAAAUCAUCAGUGUUGCAUGCUCUUGUUACUCUCCCACUCUACCCAUACUAGCUAUCCAUUGGAGAACUGGGGCAACAACAACUGUUAAUACACCUUGGAAGUAAAUAGAACAUUGAAUUUGUUUGCCUGUAAAUUUCUUCAGCCUUUAUCCAUGAGAAUUCAUCAUAUUUGCCAUCACUGUAUUCUAGUAAGAUCCUGGGUUUCACCUUAAGUCUUGCCUACAAGGUAAAACUGGAUGGGAAACAAUAUGUUGCCAAAAAAGAUAAUAAAUUUCCUAUGAUGUUAUGGACUGCUUGAGCA